rnacentral:sRNA from 1 species
GAUCAUCGAAACGACGCACUCCUCCUCCCAGCGUCGUUCGAUGUGGAUUGGCGAUACUCCUCCUCCCAAUUGCCAAUCAAGUUCAAAGCCUGCCGCACCUCCUCCCGCGGCAGGCUUUUUCU